UGCGGUCAGAACUUUAUGAAA
rnacentral:piRNA from 1 species